UGUUGGUGAUGGAGGUGGCAUAGGGAAUG
rnacentral:piRNA from 1 species